GGACUACCAGGGUUUCUAAUCCUGUUUGCUCCCCUAGCUUUCGUUCCUCAGCGUCAGUUGUGGUCCAGCGCGCCGCUUUCGCCACGGGUGUUCCUGCAGAUAUCUACGCAUUUCACCGCUACACCUGCAAUUCCACGCGCCUCUCCCACACUCGAGCACAGCAGUUUCGGAAGCAGCCUUUGAGUUAAGCCCAAAGAUUUCACUCCCGACUUGCCACACCGCCUACGAACCCUUUACACCCAGUAAUUCCGAACAACGCUGGCCCCCUACGUCUUACCGCGGCGGCUGGCAC
rnacentral:rRNA from 1 species